AUCAAUUUGAAAAAAAAAAGUGGAAAUAGAAAAAACAAAACCAAUAAGAAUACAGAUAUUGGGAAAUGAUGUGGCCAAAAUAGAGAGGCAAAGGGCGGUACAGAUAAGAAGGAGAGUAAGAAAGUGUAGACAGAUGUGAGAAUGAGAAUGAGAAGAAACAAGGUUAAGGUGAAGAUGUUCUAAAAAUAGAAUAAGAAAGAAUGAUCAUAAUAAUUCUGGAGAGAAAGGAACGCAAAAAGAGGAACCAACCACAUUGGUUUACAUAAAAUUUUCUUCUUACAGGCAGGGAAGCGGUUGAAAUGUGUGAUUUGGACUGUGUGCGUAUGCGGUUGAAAACGUUUUAGGUUAUAAUCUCUUAUCCUGUGAGCAAAGCUUUAAUCAUCAUUAAUCCCUUUCUCCUCCUCCUCACCCCCCCUCUCACCAUUACAUUCGUUAUUCAACCUUUUUGAUUCAGUUUAACUACCAAUCUUCUGAGGCUCAAGGAAUGGAGAAGGAGACCAGGAAGAGACGAAGAGGAGAACUGGAAGAGGAGAAUAAAGAGUUGUUUGUGAAGAAUGCAGCAAAGAAGGAAGAUGAUGUUAAUUAUGAUGAAAGUGACAGAUCCAUUUCAUUAGGAGUGUUUGAUUUCCCAUGGCUGCAUGAGCACGACGAAGGAAUCAUAUCAGAGUUAUCAGACGAGUACUGGAAUUUCCAGGACAGCUUCUCAUCCUCAUUGGAUGACACUUGCCCGCAGACAGAAGUUGAAUUUUCCAGACAAUUCUUGUAUGAGAUUCCAACAUCUAAUUCAUCAAUGAGUUUAAGAGUUCCAGAUAAUAAGUUUGAGGAGAGUGUGGAUUGCAUUUGGAGCUCCCUCCAUAAUCAGCCGCUUCAGCCUAAUGACUAGCACGCUUUUGCAUUCCAUGUUAACUAUAUAUUACCAUAAAAUUUUAAUUAGAAAUUUGGUUGGUAUUUUUAUUACAAAAUAGGCUGCCCUCGCAAAGAAUGUUUUGGCAGACUACAGUAAAAUAGGCCUGAGGUAAAUCAUUUUCUCUUUUGUUUACCAUUUUUGUUUUUGAUGUUCUGGGCAUUCCUUUGCCCAGUUAUAUUACAGUUUCUUUUCUGCUA